rnacentral:lncRNA from 1 species
AAAGACUCCAAAAUACAGGUAAAAAAAAUACGAAAGAAAAAGAUCACAGGGGCUGCUCAUGUGGAGGGACUUGAUAAGCUGGAAUGUAAAAAGUCUGACUCAGAUUCAAAUUCAAAGUCGAGUGAUGAUUCUUCUUCCAAAUCUGAUUCCAAUUCAGAUUCUGAUAAGAAAUCUAAUCAUUCUGGUUUGAAAUCAGACUCGGAACCAAAAUCUAGUGAGGUAAUUAUAUUAUCUAAUUGAAAAAGCCCGGAUAUAAUAUAUAUCUGCUUACACUAGAUAGCUUGACAUAACAUUAUUAACUCUAUGAAAAAAAAAAAACAAAAGCUUGAUUCACUUAUCACUAUUUGUUACUCUUAAUACAUAAAAGUUCGUCCUAUAAAAAAAAAUCAAGUAAAAUUUUAUUAUGUCCAUAGUUUGUAUCUAUCUGCCUAAUAUUUCUAUAUCUGUCAUAGAUAUAGAAGGAUUUAUAACUGUAAAAUAACAAAAAGUAGUUCAAUACGCAAAUUUCUUUUUUUUCCUGCAAUCUAGUGACGGCAAAGACUCCAAAAUACAGGUAAAGAAAAUACGAAAGAAAAAGAUCACAAGGGCUGCUCAUGUGGAGGGACUUGAUAAGCUGGAAUGUAAAAAGUCUGACUCAGAUUCAAAUUCAAAGUCAAGCGAUGAUUCUUCUUCCAAAUCUGAUUCUGAUUCUGAUUCUGAUAAGAAAUCUAAUCAUUCUGGUUUGAAAUCAGACUCGGAACCAAAAUCCAAUGAGGUAAUUAUAUUAUCUAAUUGAAAAAGCCCGGAUAUAAUAUAUAUCUACUUACACCAAGUAGCUUGACAUAGCAUUAUUAACUCUAUGAAAAAAAAAAAAAGGAACAAAAGCAUGAUUCACCUAUCGCUAUUUGUUACUCAUAAUACAUAAAAGUUCGUCUUAUAAAAGAAAAUCAAGUAAAAUUUUAUUAUGUGAAUAGUUUGUAUCUAUCUGUCUAAUAUUUCUAUAUCUGUCAUACAUAUCGAAGGAUUUAUAACUGUAAAAUAACAAGAAGUAGUUCAAUACGCAAAUUUCUUUUUUUUUAGCUGCAAUCUAGUGACGGCAAAGACUCCAAAAUACAGGUAAAGAAAAUACGAAAGAAAAAGAUCACAGGGGACGCUCAUGUGGAGGGACUUGAUAAGCUGGAAUGUAAAAAGUCUGACUCAGAUUCAAAUUCAAAAUCGAGCGAUGAUUCUUCUUCCAAAUCUGAUUCCGGUUCUGAUUCUGAUAAGAAAUCUAAUCAUUCUGGUUUGAAAUCCGACUCGGAAUCAAAAUCUAAUGAGGUAAUUAUAUUAUCUAACCAGAAAAGCCUUUUAUAUAUAUAUAUAUAUAUAUAUAUAUAUAUAUAUAUAUAUAUAUAUAUAUAUAGUGUAGAGCUAUUAUGCUAGCUAUCGGAAGUAUAGAACAAAAGCACGAUUCACUUAUUCAUUAUUUGUUACUUAUAGUACAUGAAAGUUCGUUUUUGACAUAACAUUAUUAACUCUAUGAAAAAUAGAACAAAAGCUUGAUUCACUUAUUCACUAUUUGUUACUCAUAAUACAUAAAAGUUCAUUCUGUACCGUUAAUUUCUAGAAAUUAAGAAAAGUACAGUAAAAUGUUAUUACAUGAAUAGUUAAUUUGUAUCUAUAUGCGUAAAAUGUCUUAUCAUAAGAUAUAGAAGGACUUAUAACUGUAAAAUAACAAAAAGAAGUUUAAUAUGCAAUUUGUUUUUUACUUCUAUUUAGUGAUAACAAUGACUCCAAAAUACAGGUAACGAAAAUACGAAAGAAAAAGAUCGUAGGGGCUGCUCAUGUGGAGGGACUUGUAAAGCUGGAAUGUAAAAAAUCUGACUCAGAUUCGAAUUCAAAGUCAAGCGAUGAUUCUUCUUCCAAAUCUGAUUCCGAUUCUGAUUCUGAUAAGAAAUCUAAUCAUUCUGGUUUGAAAUCCGACUCAGAAUCAAAAUCUAAUGAGGUAAUUAUAUUAUCUAACCAGAAAAGCC